rnacentral:rRNA from 1 species
UACGUAGGGUGCGAGCGUUGUCCGGAAUUAUUGGGCGUAAAGGGUGCGUAGGCGGUUCCGCAAGUCCUGGGGGAAAUCUUCGGGCUCAACUCGAAGUCUGCACGGGAAACGGCGGGGCUUGAGUGUGGGAGAGGUGAGUGGAAUUCCCGGUGUAGCGGUGAAAUGCGUAGAUAUCGGGAGGAACCCCUGUGGCGAAAGCGGCUCACUGGACCAUAACUGACGCUGAUGCACGAAAGCUGGGGGAGCAAACAGG